rnacentral:rRNA from 1 species
GAUGAACGCUAGCUACAGGCUUAACACAUGCAAGUCGAGGGACCGGCGCACGGGUGAGUAACACGUAUCCAACCUGCCCUUUACUCGGGGAUAGCCUUUCGAAAGAAAGAUUAAUACCCGAUAUAAAGGAUGGGGAUGCGUUCCAUUAGGUUGUUGGUGAGGUAACGGCACACCAAGCCUUCGAUGGAUAGGGGUUCUGAGAGGAAGGGCCACCACAAUGGAACUGAGAAACGGUCCAAACGCCUAAUGGAGGAAGAAGGGAUGAAGAUUGGGCAAUGGGCGCUAGCCUGAACCAGCCAAGUAGCGGGAAGGAUGAAGGAUUAUGGGUCGUAAACUUCUUUUAUAUAAGAAUAUGGAUUAUAUGAAUAAGGAUCGGCUAACUCCGUGCCAGCCGCCGCGGUAAUAC